GUGGAGUGCUCUUCUUGCCCCGGGAGAGGGAGGAGGGUAAAGAAGCCUACCCCUUUGUCCCCCCGGAGUCUUGCUAUGGAUUUUGUUAUAGAUGGAGGCUUGAAAAAAAAAUAAUAAUCCCUCUCCUGCAACUUGUGGCAGGCAUUUAGUUAAUGAUUGCUGGGGUGGCCGCGCCUCCCCGCAUGACUGGCGCAUGUGACGGGUUGCCGCCUGUGGUUGAUACUUGUUAAAAGAAUCGAGCUUAUGCCUGCUGUAACAAAAAAAUAAAAAAUUAAAAGCCUGAAUAACUUGUCGGUGAAAUAGGAUUCCCCAGCAAAUUGCACAACAAACUGUAGCGUUUGUCAUUGCCUGGGGCAUCCUACAGCUUCUCUACUGUGCAGGGCGCCCGGUUGUUUUCUAAUGGCCAGGAAACAAAGCUUCAGUUAUGUUUAGGAGUGGGAAAUGCCGCUUUCCACGUGAAGCAAAUGUGACGAUUCUUGGAAAUAAGAUCACGAGAUUGCUUUCGGUCUCUCCAGAACCAAGCACGGGCUUGCACUCUGGUGAGAAAGGAAGCGGAGGAGAGGGCCCUUUCCCAAGAGACCCCUUCCCUGUCAUCAGCUGGGGAGCAGGGACUAGACCUGGGGUCUUGGGAGGAGGAACUCCUCUCUCCCAGAGCUGGACAGCCCAUCUUUCUGCAACCAAUUUUGCUCAGCUACUACGUUAUCAGAGAGUCCAAGAUUCCAGGAAAAUUGUAACCCGGUGCAUGGAUGGUGGAGAUGGUGACUGUGGGGGGAGAUGUCUGAUUCCAGUUGGAGGAAAGCUCCUCCAAAAAUAUCUCCUUUGAUCCAGGAUAAGAGAAAGGAAGACAGGGAGAUAGCCUAUGUGCCACCCUCUGGAUGACUGGCCCGUUUGACACCCAUCAUCUCCUAGUAGGCACCUGCCCAGGGAAAAGUACUGGGGAGUAGGAGCCCAUUGCAACACCACUCUUGUGGUCAUACGGUGCCACCAGCCUUGACCCUCAGGAGGCAACAGCUGGCUCUCAACCCAUGACUCAGAUUCCAUGGAGGGGGUUCCCACUGGGGCUACAAUGGCUUUGAAGAGGGACCAGCUUUGGAUACUCCUGUCCAACUUCAGGUCUUUUUCAAGGGCCUGCCUGGGAUGAAUGCGAGAGGAUAGUAUCCUGCUGGGAGAAAUGAGGACAUCGAUGAUUUGGAAAAGGCAUGGAAAGACAUGAACCCAUGAGAAGGGAACGGAGGCAGAAGAAUUUACACUGUGACACGGAUAUGAAUAAAAAUGAACAGUUCUGAGGACUUUUAUCAAGUGAUGAAGAAUAAGGAGACCUUUUAGAAGUGGAGAAGAGAGCACUGGGCCUGGAGUAAGGAGAACCUGAGUUAAAAUUCUGCCUCAGACACAGACUAUUUGUAUGGGCCUGGGAAAGUCACUUUUCUUCUGCCUGCUUCAGUUUCCUUAUCUAUAAAAUGGGGAUAACAUCACCUACCUCCAAAGUAGUGAAAAGUAACAAAUGAAAUAAUAUUUGUAAAAUGCUUAGCAAAGCCCUUGGCACACAAGCAGCCGUUUUAAAAAAUCCUUACCUUCUGUUCAGUUAUCUUACUAUCAGUUCUAGGACAGAAGAGCAGCAAGGGCUAGGUAAAUUGGAGUUGUAGCUUACACAGGGUCACAUAACUAAGAAACAACUCAAAUUAGAUCUGAAUUCAGAUCCUCCUGAUUUCUGGUCUGACACUAUCCAUUGUGCUACCUAGCUGCCCCCAUAGUAUUCAUUUAAUUAAUUUUAAAAAUUUUAAUAACAAAUUUCCACAGAAGUUUUCUGAUGUUAUACGAUCAUUAUUGUCUCCCUCCCUUCUUCCUUCCCCCCUCCUGAAGCUGACAAGCAAUUCAAUCUGGGUUAUACAUGCAUUACCACAAAACACGUAUUUCCAUAUUAUUCAUUUUUCUAAGUAAAUAAUCUCAUAAAACCAAAAUCCCAAAACGUACUCAAAUAAACAAGUGAUAGGCUAUAUAUUUUCAUCUGCAUUCCUACUCCAACAGUUCUUUCUCUGAAGAUGGAUAGCAUCCUUUUUUCCCAAGUCCCUCUGUUAGUAGCAAAGUCAUAGUAUGCAUUUAAUAUAUACUUGUUUCCCUCUCAAGGAAUGAGGUUAAUCUGUAAAUAUCUCUUGUGUUAAAAAUGAAACACAUCAAUAAAAAUUUUUUAAAUAAAUUUACA